UAAACAUGCAAGUCGACGAUGAUCUCCAGCUUGCUGGGGGGAUUAGUGGCGAACGGGUGAGUAACACGUGAGUAACCUGCCCUUGACUCUGGGAUAAGCCUGGGAAACUGGGUCUAAUACCGGAUAUGACCAUCUGGCGCAUGUCAUGGUGGUGGAAAGCUUUUGUGGUUUUGGAUGGACUCGCGGCCUAUCAGCUUGUUGGUGGGGUAAUGGCCUACCAAGGCGACGACGGGUAGCCGGCCUGAGAGGGUGACCGGCCACACUGGGACUGAGACACGGCCCAGACUCCUACGGGAGGCAGCAGUGGGGAAUAUUGCACAAUGGGCGAAAGCCUGAUGCAGCGACGCCGCGUGAGGGAUGACGGCCUUCGGGUUGUAAACCUCUUUCAGUAGGGAAGAAGCGAAAGUGACGGUACCUGCAGAAGAAGCGCCGGCUAACUACGUGCCAGCAGCCGCGGUAAUACGUAGGGCGCAAGCGUUAUCCGGAAUUAUUGGGCGUAAAGAGCUCGUAGGCGGUUUGUCGCGUCUGCUGUGAAAGACCGGGGCUCAACUCCGGUUCUGCAGUGGGUACGGGCAGACUAGAGUGCAGUAGGGGAGACUGGAAUUCCUGGUGUAGCGGUGAAAUGCGCAGAUAUCAGGAGGAACACCGAUGGCGAAGCAGGUCUCUGGGCUGUAACUGACGCUGAGGAGCGAAAGCAUGGGGAGCGAACAGGAUUAGAUACCCUGGUAGUCCAUGCCGUAAACGUUGGGCACUAGGUGUGGGGGACAUUCCACGUUUUCCGCGCC
rnacentral:rRNA from 1 species